rnacentral:lncRNA from 1 species
ACGCAAAAGAAAAGAAGGAAUAAUGGUCAUGCCAAAAAAGGCCAUAGCCACGUACAGCCUAUUUGUGGCAGGAACUGUGCCCGAUGCAUGGCCAAGUACAAGGCUAUUAAGAAGUUUGUCAUUUGAAACAUAGUAGAGGCUGCAGCUAUCAGGUACGUUUCCAAAGCGAGUGUCUUUGACACCUCCGUGCUUCUCAAGUUGUAUGUGAAGCUACAUUGCUGUGUCAGUUGUGCCAUUCAUAGCAAGGUAGUCAGGAAUUGAUCUUGUGAAGCCCACACGAACCAAAUACCCCGAUCCCGAUUUAGACCUGUGGGUGCUGCCCCACGACCUCCACUAAAGCCCAGGUAA